rnacentral:rRNA from 1 species
CCUACGGGUGGCAGCAGUGAGGAAUAUUGGUCAAUGGACGAGAGUCUGAACCAGCCAAGUAGCGUGAAGGAUGACUGCACAGUGUAUUGUAAACUUCUUUUAUCAAGGAAUAAAACCUGGCACGCGUCCCCGUUUGCAUGUACCUUAUGAAAAAGCAUCGGCUAACUCCGUGCCAGCAGCCGCGGUAAUACGGAGGAUCCGAGCGUUAUCCGGAUUUAUUGGGUUUAAAGGGAGCGGAGGGGGGUUGUUAAGUCAGUGGUCAAAGUGCGGGGCUCAACCCGAGAACUGCCGUUGAUACUGGCAGUCUUGAGUAGAGUUGAGGUAGGCGGAAUGCGUGGUGUAGCGGUGAAAUGCAUAGAUAUCACGCAGAACUCCGAUUGCGAAGGCAGCUUGCCAA